rnacentral:rRNA from 1 species
UACGUAGGGUGCGAGCGUUGUCCGGAAUUAUUGGGCGUAAAGAGCUCGUAGGCGGUCUGUCGCGUCGAUCGUGAAAACUUGGGGCUUAACCCUGAGCUUGCGGUCGAUACGGGCAUGACUGGAGUUCGGCAGGGGAGACUGGAAUUCCUGGUGUAGCGGUGAAAUGCGCAGAUAUCAGGAGGAACACCGGUGGCGAAGGCGGGUCUCUGGGCAGAAACUGACGCUGAGGAGCGAAAGCGUGGGGAGCGAACAGG